rnacentral:rRNA from 1 species
CGGACGGGUGAGUAACGCGUGGAAAACCUGCCGUAUACUGGGGGAUAACACUCAGAAAUAGGUGCUAAUACCGCAUAAGCGCACAGCUUCGCAUGAAGCGGUGUGAAAAACUCUGGUGGUAUACGAUGGUUCCGCGUCUGAUUAGCUAGUUGGUGGGGUAAUGGCCUACCAAGGCAACGAUCAGUAGCCGGCCUGAGAGGGUGAACGGCCACAUUGGGACUGAGACACGGCCCAAACUCCUACGGGAGGCAGCAG